GUACUGUCGUAUCCUACCUGAUCCGAGGUCACCUGGGAUAAAAAUUUGGGUUGAUCGGCAAGCGCCGGCCGGGCCUACAGAGCGGGUGACAAAGCCCCAUACGCUCGAGGACCGGACGCGGUGCCGCCGCUGCCUUUCGGGCCCGUCCCCCGGAAUCGGAGGACGGGGCCCAACACACAAGCCGGGCUUGAGGGCAGCAAUGACGCUCGGACAGGCAUGCCCCCCGGAAUACCAGGGGGCGCAAUGUGCGUUCAAAGACUCGAUGAUUCACUGAAUUUGCAAUUCACAUUACGUAUCGCAUUUCGCUGCGUUCUUCAUCGAUGCCGGAACCAAGAGAUCCGUUGUUGAAAGUUUUAAAUAAUUUAUAUUUUCACUCAGACUUCAAUCUUCAGACAGAGUUCGGGGGUGUCUUCGGCGGGCGCGGGCCCGGGGGCGUGAGCCCCCCGGCGGCCAGUAAAGGCGGGCCCGCCGAAGCAACAAGGUAAAAUAAACACGGGUGGGAGGUUGGACCCAAAGGGCCCUCACUCGGUAAUGAUCCUUCCGCAGCACCCCUACCCGAAAGGUACCAGAGGCCCCCCGGGGGCCACCCCCCACCCGGUAACCCGGGCCCCGCCGGGCCGCCUUACCGGCCGCCCGGGGGCCCAGCCCCCGGCCCGCCCCGCCAAAAAACCCCCAACCGGCCCGAAGAAGGAAGCCCGGAAGGAAAAAAAAAAAAAAUUUAAAAACCUCCCAACAAGGAAACCUUGGGGUUGCGCUGCAUUAAAAAAACACGCAAAUGGAAUACCUAAAGGUGAAAUUGGCAAUUCCGUGAAAUAUCCGACCUUUUAAACCAAUGGCCCCGGGCAUGCCGGGGGGCCAAGGCUGUCCAAGACUUUUGGGCCCAGCGGGUGGUGUGGGGGGGGCCCCUCUCCUAUCUCCGGGGGGGAGGCCCAAAAGAGACACCGAACCCCCGUCCCUCCCCCGGGAGGGGGGGUUUUGUCCUCUCUCUUUUUAGCCCCCCCCGGCGCGGCGCACGCACACAAAAUUUUUUUCGGUGUUUCCCCCCAAAGGGGGGGGGGAGCACACCCUCUAUAUAAUACCAACGGGGGGAAGGCAAAGAAAAAAAAAAA
rnacentral:misc_RNA from 1 species